UACAGAGGGGGCAAGCGUUGUUCGGAAUUACUGGGCGUAAAGGGCGCGUAGGCGGCCUGCUAAGUCGAACGUGGAAUCCCCGGGCUCAACCCGGGAACUGCGUCCGAUACUGGCAGGCUUGAAUCCGGGAGAGGGAUGCGGAAUUCCAGGUGUAGCGGUGAUAUGCGUAGAUAUCGGGAGGAACACCUGUGGCGAAGGCGGCUUUCUGGGCCUUACCUGACGCUGAGACGCGAAAGCGUGGGGAGCGAACCGG
rnacentral:rRNA from 1 species